rnacentral:rRNA from 1 species
CAUUACCGAGUUUACAACUCCCAAACCCCUGUGAACAUACCUUAAUGUUGCCUCGGCGGAUCAGCCCGCGCCCCGUAAAACGGGACGGCCCGCCAGAGGACCCAAACUCUAAUGUUUCUUAUUGUAACUUCUGAGUAAAACAAACAAAUAAAUCAAAACUUUCAACAACGGAUCUCUUGGUUCUGGCAUCGAUGAAGAACGCAGCAAAAUGCGAUAAGUAAUGUGAAUUGCAGAAUUCAGUGAAUCAUCGAAUCUUUGAACGCACAUUGCGCCCGCUGGUAUUCCGGCGGGCAUGCCUGUUCGAGCGUCAUUUCAACCCUCAAGCCCCCGGGUUUGGUGUUGGGGAUCGGCUCUGCCCUUCUGGGCGGCGCCGCCCCCGAAAUACAUUGGCGGUCUCGCUGCAGCCUCCAUUGCGUAGUAGCUAACACCUCGCAACUGGAACGCGGCGCGGCCAUGCCGUAAAACCCCAACUUCUGAAUGUUGACCUCGGAUCAGGUAGGAAUACCCGCUGAACUUAAGCAUAUCAA